UUUUAUAUUUCUAUGUUUUACAUCAUUAGAAAAGUUUCACUUUAUGUGUCUACCUUCAUGUUAUUCUAUUUUUAUAUUAAUAUUUUGUUUUGAUAAAAUACAAAAACAAAUCUUAAAAGGCUGAAUUCAUCCGUGUAUGUUUCUCUUGUGUACUUUGUUGUGACAAUGUUGAAUUUGUAAUAUCUAUCAACGACGUCAAUAAAACUCAAUAAAUGAUAACCAGGCAAUUUUGUACGCCAGAGGGACGUUUGAAUAAACAUGUUAAAGGUCAAACAAAGUAUGAAAUUGUAGAGCAUUGAAGUCUAAAUUGGUCGAGACUAUUUGGUAUUCGCAAAAUUAUUAAUAAUUAUCUGAGACAAAAAAGUAGUUUGGUUUAUUUUACAUGGAUGGGAGAUAGCUGGCAAUAUCUUGAAAGACUUUUGAAUGGAAUCUGAAGUAUUAACCCUGUAUGGAAUAUAUUACCUAUUAGAGAGGAAUAAGAUGGAGAUAGACAUUUUAAAGACUCUGCUUAAAGUUGCAAUUAUUUUCGUGACACCAACUCAGUUAUUUAGAUGGAUGGGAAUACUGAUACAUCAGAAAUCUCUAUGAUGAUAAGAUUUUAUGUCGAAACGGAAGCUGCAACUAAAUUAUUGUAACUGCUAUUUAAACAGAUGAAAACAUGACAUUGUCCCUUAUCUAAUUAUAUAUAUCUGCUACAUAUGUGCAACAUAGAACAAUUCGGCUACAUUCUGGAAAUAUGUUAAUAAUCUAUUUCUAAAAAUUGUUGUUAGUAGUAAAUUAUAGAUAUUGACUGUAUUCAAUGACCAGAAUUUCCAGGAUUUAACAAUCAAAACUGUAUUAAAGUAAAUGAAGAAUGUUUUAACGUAGUAAAAUUAUAAAGACAUGUCAUUUUUGUUUAACAAUACACAUCAACUCGCAAGCAAUGAUCGCACUUCCAAUAGUUAAUUUUGACAAGAUUAAUUGACGUCGCAUGAAUUUCUUGACGCUAGAUUUGAAACCGAUGCAUGAAUUUUUUUACAUGUGUUUUUUCUUCGUGUAACAUUUCUUUGAAUCAAUACCUGCACUGAAAUCAGUAAAACAAAGUUGUGUUUCUGAACUACCGGGACCGAGCAAAGAAAAACAGAAUCAGGCCAUUAGAAGGUUGAAGGCAGGAAUAAGUCAACGUGAUGAUACUCAACAUUUCAGGUCAGAUAUGCCCCUUUUAGUUCUUACAACAACGGUAUUGGCAAACAAGAGUUGUAAAUGAACAUCCAUACCCAGGUCAACUUGUAGAAACAACGCCGCGUCAACAAAAUUGCAUCACACAGCGCAAUUUUUCGAGAGAGUUUUAUGACUGUUACGUCGACUGCUAACCAAGUCGCCCGGUGUCAAGGAAAACAUAGUAAUGAAAUGGUUUCCCAUUUACUGAACUUCCACAGAAUCCACUGCAGAAAAUCAUUUCAAUCAAUUGAUCAUAAUUUUUAAAAUCAGUACAAUAGGGUAGACAGAAGCAAAUUCAGUCUGAACAAUAAAUCAUAAAGUAAUGUUUAUUCUUUGAGUACGUUUUCAGACUUAUCCGCUGCAGUAAUUUUAGUAUUGUUCAGACAGUUCGCUUGCAGUCAAUUCAGUACUGUUCAGUAGCUUCUAAGGUAAUUCAGACUUAGUUUGAUGUAUACAGGUAGAUAACAAACUACUGAACAGUCUGCACAAGGAUCUUAAUUUUAAAAUGUGUUCACACUAAUAAAUAUUUUUUUCUGAAGAUUUUAUGCAACCUGUUUGGCGCCACAUUUUAUGAAAACGUUUUUGAAGUACAGGUAAAUAGCUCUGAAAAAUUAACAAUAGUACUUCGUUACCAUGAGGCAACACUUAUUAGAUAGGUGUUCGUUUUCCUGAUAUUACAACAAAUAAUGCAGAUUGCAAGUUUCUACAUAUCCAUUGACCGGGAAAUUGUUUUCAAAUUACAUGACGUCAUUAGCUUAUCUUGAAUUUCAUAAACCUAUCGGUUGAAUUUUUGGUUAUACAAGGUCUGUUCCGUUUCAAACCAAUACAGGAGGUCAUUUUAAUGAUUUAUCUUGUGUACUUGACACAUACAAGAAAAUAAUAAUAAUAAACAACAAAACUAACAAACAAACAAACACAAAAAUAAAUAAAUAAUUAAAAUAAAUAAAUAGAUAAAUAAAUAAAUAAAUAAAUUAAUUAAUAAGUAAACAUACAUGAAUAAAUUAAUAUAAUACAUUUUUCAUAGAUUAAACUGAUGAAUAAGCAAUUUAAUUGUUAUGAUCUUAAUAAAGAAAAACACUCCGUAUGAAUAUAAGUUUACAAACAGAAAACGUAAAAGUGAUAUAUUUAUCUAACAAUUGACACGAUACCUGAAUUUUAACGCAAGGAUGUUUUGAUUAAAUAAUCUUAACAAUACUGGACAGCACACUUUGUAUACUGAAAAGUUUUUAGAGUAAAACAGCGGCACCAAAGCAUUCGAGAUCAGAUAUAUCAAAUUAUUAUUAUAUUUUCGGCACACUGUAAACACGUAACUGUAUAAUUACAAUUAUGGCCUUUGGAAAUAUAAGUCAUAUAAAAUGACUAUGGUCAGGGAAAAUUUAUUCUGUCCUUUAUGUCAAGAAUCUUUGUUUGUCUAAGUUAUGUUCGACAUUAAAAUGUCGUUGAACAAUCUGCCAUUUGAAGUCUGUAAAAGCAAUCUAUGUUUUAACUUUGAUUAUUCUCAAAUACUAAGCAUGUUGUCGAACAAUUUUUUGGACAUCUUUAUUCAUUUAGUGCUUGAUCUUAUAGUUCAAUCAAUUGGAUUUAAAACUGAUCUAAAACUAAACUUGCAUGUGUCUUGUCGAUACAAUUUCGGGUAAAGAUUUGUUACCGGAUUUUUCACGAUCCGAUUGCAACGAUUUGCCGUUAUAACUUAUUUUACAGCCAUAUGUCUCGUUGAAUCGAAUAUGCAUCUAACUUUGAAUAAUCAAUGAUGAUAAUGAUCACAAAAAAGAUUAGGAAAAAUAUGUUACUAUAUUUAAGUCCAUUUUAUCAAGAUUUAUGUGUGACCGAUAUCAAAUACCAUGUUGCAAUGUUACCAUGUUACCAUAUUAACACCCGAAGACAUACACAUACAAUAGAUUUGGUAAAACAGUUCAAAGUGUUUGAAUACUGAAAUGUAUCUUGAUCUAUUUAUUAUUAUAAUCAUACCCAUUCAUGGCCAUUAACAUUGUUGAUGUCACUGACGUGUACAAAGUAUAUACACAUUCACGGGGUUUAAGGUUAGGUGGAACACAUUUUGUUUUUAAACGAAUAAAAUGAUAGUUGUGGUAUUUUAUUAACCUUAAAUAACUUUGGUAUUAAAAGCUAUAGUUAAAUACCGAAACUGGUACAUACGGCCACUAGAUAUAAUUUUGAUUCUUUACACAACUUCUCCUUGAGGAAAAAAAUUAAGUGUGAAACACCGAAAUUUUAAUUAGAUUAGAAUUCAAUCGUUACUUUUAUUAGUAGGAUUUUACUUUCAUAUAUUAAGAAGUGAUAAUUAGAAAGUACAAAAAAAUACAACCGUAACUAAAGGUAUAUCAAUAGCAAUUUUCUGCAAAAUAACCUUACACAUCAUUAAGAAAAUUUGUUAUUGACUAUAUACAAGCAUGUUUUCUUGUGGGUAUUCGAUAUCGGCCACAUAAUAUAUUCAUUCCGCCAUGAAAACAGUCUGGGCGAAUGAAAACACCUAUUAUGAUGACAGAACUGAUACAACUCCACAAAUACCACUCACGCAGCCACCAAGCAAGGUAUUAAUGGAGUCCCUUGUUAUAAACGAAUAAGAGCAGAAUGGUCUGUCAAAAUAAAAUAACAACAUCAUCACAAGAAUAUCAAUCUGUUAUUUUUUACUCGUCAUAUCAUAAACUAUGUGAUUAAGUAAAUUAAUGAGAGUUUAACGUUAUCGAUACCUAUAUCAUUUUUAUUCGUUAUAGACAUGUGCCCCAAAAUACAUACUUAUUAUAAAAAUAAUAUGCUCUCUCUUUUUUUUUUAAGUCAGCAUAUGAUAUGGAUGUAGGUAUAUGUAUCUUGCAAGACAAUUUACCGAAUAUGUCUAGUUAGAGACUAUUUAUAUUGUUACAGGCCUUUUCUUACAGUAAUCGUUUAAACAAUUUGUUUAAGUUGUUCAGAUAUUUAAGGCUAAUCUAGGUAUGCAAAAACAUCAAGAUAUAUGACAAACCUUAACACUAGUUGUGCAUGCAAACAGUUUAUUGCUACAUUUUAUGAAGUGUAGUUCUUUAAAUGGCUAUUCCAUAAUUCAUAUUUUGUUACUACAUCUCUUACUAAAUGAACUGUUACGACAAUGUUAAAAAAAAUAUACCACUAUAUUCAUGGCCAAUGAUAUAGUUAAUCACACUCGAAUCUGCAUAUAAUCUUUAAUUAGAUCAAUAGUUAGAAAAUAUAUAAUAUCGACAUUCUUGUAUGGGAGUCUUUUACACAUUUGAAAACAUUUUGUUUUUGAUUUAGGAUUUUGAUUAAAAAAGAAAUCUCGUCUGUAGGCUACAUCGGUCCAAUAUAUUUUACUUACAUCCAAAAUUGUUUUAAUACUUUUCGUGUUAAUUAUUAUUGUAAAUAAUUAUUAUCUAAAAACUACCCUUUUAAAUUAAUGUGAUACAAUUAUAUAAAGUUAUAUAACGUAACAUAAACCAAAUCGUACUGAAGAAUUUAAGAAUGCUUCAAAUAAAAUUUAAAAAACCACAAUAGUGUUUGUCUGUUCCUAGUAACAACAGAAACGGUACCAAUUGAAUUGCACCCGAUGACGUUUCGACAGUUAAUGUUUCUUCAGUAAGACUCGAGGCCAACGUAUUUGAAAGUACCUACUAAAAACGUUGAAAAGUUGCUAAAACAUUAACAAAAAAUUUAAGACAUACCCAGACCUGGACGAGGAAUCAGACUGAUUGAUGAGGAAGAUAAAUCCUUAAUUUAAAUUGAUUCACAAAUUUUACGACAGCAAAUUUAAACAGAACAAUAUCCGUAAUUUUGUGCCUAUGCCGAAGAACUGGCUACUGCAUUAUAUUAAUGAUAUCAAUUCAGACAAACUGUUAGUACUUGUAGACUUAUAUUAACUACAUUUUAUGUAACACAAAAUAUACUAGGGUGCAAGACUUAAUAAUUGUCAACUCUAUUUCAUAAUAUCUGAUUAUAUAUGCUUUUAUUAAUUUAUUAUUUUCCCAUUGUAUAAUUAAUAUAAAAGGAGUAAUAUUGUUAGCACUCCUUCUGAAUAAAAUAUUUGUGUAUAACUAUAAACUUUUGGAGAGAAUCAAACCCGACAUUUAAUUCAAUCUAAUCUAACCUUGAGAAAAAAAGAUGAAUGUUAUAUCGGAAUGUUAAGGAAAAUGAAAGAGAAAUGUUAGAAUUACUUACGUACUCUUGACCAAUAAUUUAAUUACUUAAACGAAAUUUAAUAAAUGUACGGUUAUAUUUGACAUUAUAUUAAAAACACUGUCCAUUAGUUUUUUUUUAUAUCGGUAGGUAAAACUUGUACUGUUUAUCGAUAUUUGAAAAUACUGAUAAAUAUUGAAACGCUUGAUGGUUGUCUUUUUGAAUUUGAAUAAUUGCAUAUUCAUAGCAUUCAGGAAAAUAUAAAACAAUCCCUCAUGAAGUCAGUGGAUAUCUGAUUUCUUAAACCAAAUCAAAACCUUUAAUGCAAAAAAUAGGUAUAAAGAUUCUGAAUUAUUCCAAACAUCAAUAAGUCAACUGCAGGCAAAUAUAAAUAUUUAAACUUUAUGUAAAAUAUUGCAUUUUCAAGCACCAACAAUACUGAUUUAAAAUACUGGUACGCAUUAUUUGAAGAAAAAACUCGGAAUCUUGGCCUUAUUUAUCUAUGUAAAAUAAAAUAGUGCAUACAAUAUUUCGUUUGUAUUUUUUAUGAAUUUUAAAAAUCUUAUUUGAGGUAUUCAAUAUAGUAAGUAUUAUACAUCAAUGUUGUAGGGAAAUAGCCUAACGUGUAAACAUUGUUGCUGCUAAUACUAGUAAGUAGUGUUAUAAAACAAUUCCUUAUCUUAAACUCGUUUAAUCAGAAUGAGAUAUAUUUCAUCACAAAAAUUAGUUUUACUGAGAUUAUGCAGUUUCAGGUUACUAUUAAAGAGUUGAUUGCUG